UACAGAGGUCUCAAGCGUUGUUCGGAUUCAUUGGGCGUAAAGGGUGCGUAGGUGGCGGGGUAAGUCAGGUGUGAAAUUUCGGAGCUUAACUCCGAAACUGCAUUUGAUACUGCCUUGCUUGAGGACUGGAGAGGAGACUGGAAUUCACGGUGUAGCAGUGAAAUGCGCAGAUAUCAGGAGGAACACCGGUGGCGAAGGCGGGUCUCUGGGCCGUAACUGACGCUGAGGAGCGAAAGCGUGGGGAGCGAACAGG
rnacentral:rRNA from 1 species